rnacentral:lncRNA from 1 species
AAUUUUAGAAUCACUCUAUUUGUCCAAUAACAAACUUAAAGGUAGAGUGCCACAUUGGUUGCAUGAAAUAUCGUUAUCUGAAUUGGACCUCUCUCAUAACCUAUUGACACAAUCAUUGCACCAAUUCUCGUGGAACCAACAACUCGGUUCCCUUGAUCUUAGUUUUAACUCAAUCACUGGUGACUUCUCUUCCUCAAUUUGCAAUGCAAGUGCAAUUGAGAUUCUCAACUUGUCUCACAACAAGUUGACAGGAACCAUUCCACAAUGCCUUGCAAACUCAUCAUCCCUUCUAGUUUUGGAUCUACAACUGAACAAGCUUCAUGGCACUUUGCCAAGUAUCUUUUCAAAGGACUGUCAGCUCAGAACUCUGGAUCUCAAUGGCAACCAAUUAUUAGAAGGUCUUUUGCCAGAAUCUAUAUCCAAUUGCAUUCAUCUGGAGGUUUUAGAUCUUGGAAACAAUCAAAUAAAGGAUGUGUUUCCCCAUUGGCUUCAAACUCUACCAGAAUUGAAAGUAUUGGUUUUGCGAGCCAACAAGUUGUACGGUCCCAUUGCCGGUUUAAAGAUCAAGGAUGGAUUCCCCAGUUUAGUCAUCUUUGAUGUCUCUUCCAACAACUUCAGCGGCCCAAUACCAAAAGCCUACAUACAAAAAUUUGAAGCGAUGAAGAACGUUGUUAUAGAUACCGAUCUGCAGUACAUGGAAAUUUCUUUUUCUUAUGGUGGAAACAAGUACAGUGAUUCUGUGACUAUAACAACAAAAGCAAUUACUAUGACAAUGGAUAGAAUUCGAAAUGACUUUGUAAGCAUUGAUUUAUCGCAAAACGGAUUUGAAGGAGAGAUUCCAAAUGCCAUUGGAGAGCUUCAUUCACUCAGAGGACUCAACCUUUCCCAUAACAGACUUAUUGGUCCUAUUCCCCAAUCCAUGGGAAAUUUGACAAACUUAGAAUCAUUGGAUCUCUCCUCAAAUAUGCUCACUGGUCGGAUACCUACAGAAUUAACCAAUUUGAACUUUCUUGAAGUGCUAAAUCUUUCCAAUAACCAUCUUGCGGGAGAAAUACCUCGAGGACAACAGUUCAAUACUUUUUCCAAUGAUUCCUACAAGGGAAACUUGGGGUUAUGUGGACUCCCAUUGACAACAGAAUGCAGCAAGGGCCCUGAACAACAUUCUCCACCUUCAACUACCUUGAGGAGAGAAGCAGGAUUUGGAUUUGGUUGGAAACCAGUGGCUAUAGGAUAUGGAUGUGGAGUGGUCUUUGGAGUGGGAAUGGGAUGUUGUGUAUUGUUAAUAGGAAAGCCUCAAUGGCUUGUGAGAAUGGUUGGAGGUAAACUCAAUAAAAAGGUGAAAAGGAAGACAAGGAUGAGAUCUAAUGAAAAUGGUAGCAGAAUGAAUUAGUUGAUAUAUGGCAUGACUGGAGAAUGUCUUGUUACAUACCUGCCAUCUUUGAAAACAAAACUUAAGGGCAAGAACUUGAUCACACUGCAUUGCAUGGGAGAUCUGGUUCAAAGUUUUGCUGUAAUAUGAAUGUGUUGUACUUUUGCUUUUUUGUGUGUUCUUCUUCGUUUGUUGUGUAGAAGAGUGCGAUGUAUUGAGUUGCAGUUUUGAUUUAUUUAAUACGUAUAACUGUGGCAUUAAUUGGUUGUAUAAUAAUAGAUGUUGUAUAUUUUUAAAAAUGCUAUGUAUUGGCCAAUGCUAAAAUAUCUUGUAUCUUAAUUCAAGAGCUGAAUUCACGGUUUUAGCUUCCAUUGUAGUUUAUUUAAUUAAUUUUCUAACUAUUUAAGCACCGUGACAUGGCUUUAGAAGCUGAGGUCGUCCAGGGCGUAAGUAUAAGAGCACAAACAAUGCAUACUAAAGGAAGGCUAUGGGUAUAGCCUAGGCCUCAUGGUCCGUAGGAUAUCACAUAUUUAUUUUUUAUUAAGUAAUUUUUCCCAAAUUAGAAUAAUUGUUUGGUGAAAAUUUUUCAAAAUUUGAAAUAAAAGUAGCAGUACUAAAAUCAGUUAUAAUUAAAUAUAAACUUUUUCUUUUUCAAUUACUAUUACGAUAAAUUGGUAGUGGUACGUGCUGUAAAUAUUACAUCUACUUAUAAUGUCAGCACCCAAAAAUUAUUUUUAUAAUGUAAAAUUUACAUUGUCAUUAAUUUGCUUUAUUAAUUUUUAUUAUAACUAUUUAAAAUUUAUAUUAUCAUCAUAAAAUCUGAAAAAUCGUAUCUAUAAUUUUUAAUAAGCGUAAAAUUUUGUAAUUUUUAUAAACUUUAGUAAAUAUUAAAAAAUAUAUAAUAUAAUGCUAGUAUUUUUCAAAAAAAUCAACAUUGUCCUUAAAUAAACCAGUGUGCUGUACAAUAAUUCACUUUUAUCAUUCAAAAGAAAAAUUAAAACUGUAAUUCAAAAUAAAAUAAGCAUGAGUGACUUUUAUAAUAAUGACCUUAAUGAUUAAAUAUAUUUAAUUUUAACAAAUACUUAAUUUAUUAAUAAUAUAUUUAAUUUUAACAACAUUCUAAAAAUAAGAUAAUAUCUUUUUUUAUGAAAAUAAUAUCUUAAAGAUUUGAGGAUAUAAAUUUGAAUUAUUUCUGAAUAAAAUCUUGGAUAUGCAAUUAAAUACUUGAAGAAAGAAUUGUAUCAUCCAUAAUAAUCAUAUUGAUUCAAACAAGAUUAUCUUCAAUGAAAUAUACCUAUUGUCAUGAUGAAAAACAUAAGAUGUAAGAUAUAUCUAACAAAAAGCAAAGUUAGACUUAUGUAGAUCAACCAACUAAUCCCUAUACCCACUCAUCACCUGAGCUCAGCCAAAACUCGCUUAAGCCCCAACUGUGCAUGGCUUAAGCUCUUAGCCAACACCACUUAUGCUACAUAAAAACAUGUUAGUUUGCUCAUUUGUUCUUUUCUUGCAGGAAAUCUCUCCAAGUUUGGGCUCACAUUCGUGAUUUGGCUCCUUUCCGCAGACGUUUCACUUCUUUACAGCGCAUUACUGACUCUUUAAUUAGGGGCAGAUCUACAUCAGAUGUUCAAGGAAAAUUACCCUAUAGCAAUUACAGUCUACUGCAUCAGGCUGUUUAGGAACAAGCUGAUUUUUGAAGAUUAUCAAUUUUCUGUACUAUAAGUUAUUAGCAAGAUUAAAUUUCUUAUGUAUCGACGAGCGCAUCUGUUGCAUUUGUUUUAUCAUCUUGAUAUAGGUCUUCUUGUAUUAGGAAGACUUUUGAUUUUUAACUGUCGGGUAUGCCCCGUUUAUUAUUGUAUCGUUUUGGGUUUAAUAUCAUUUACAUUUUCUCCAAAACAUGUUAGUUUUUGUGCCCAUUCUACCUUAAGCGCUACGCAAUUAAUACCACUUAAGCUACUUCAAACUAAUUUGCUCAAAUUAAAAAGAGUAGAUAUGCUACAUUAAAGAGUUUUAUUCCAUUCAAUAUCCCUUCAGAAAGUGAUUUCGCAUUGAAUGUUCCUUCUUUCUAAAAGUGAUCUCUCUCAAAGUGAUCUUUAAAACAAUGUAGAAUUUAUAAAAAAAAAAAAAAAAUUGCGUGUAAUGUGUUCCUUCUUUAACUAAGGGAUCUUUGAACAAUUUAAAAUUUUAUAAACAUUUACUAAUUCUUUUUCUGUCGAUCACCAUAGGCUUAGUAUUAGAAUUUCAAAUUUUAGAUGUGAAAGGACGAAAACUGCAAUGUGAAAAGUGAAAGUUGUUACGUGGAAGUAUAUAUAGUAAAAUGAAAAGAAAAAUCGGAAAGAACAAACUCCGUGUGAACAUCACUAAUUAAAGUUAAAGUUGGACUAAAUUAAAAGAACCAAUAAAAACAAAAGUAAGAUCACUAAUUAAAGUUAAAGUUAAACUAUUAAAAAGAACCAAUAGAAACAAAAGUAAGAGAAAUAAAAGUCAACAACAGCCUAGGUACCUCUCCAAAUACUUGCAAGCUUAAUAAAAUAAUGAAAAUCUAAUAAAAAAAAUGGAGGAAAUAGCCAACACACCUUCUAUAUAUGACCAUGCAUUGUUACAUCUCUACCACAAAAUAUGAAUAUCUAAUCUUAUUGGAAACGAUAUUAAUAAAUGAAAAGAUAAACAUCUCUUUUUAAACCUUAUACAUCAUUCACAUAAUUAUUUCAUGUAUCAUGUUUAACAUUUUUUAAUUUCAAUUUAUAUUUUCUUCUUCGUAAAUAUAAAGCCAUGUACACCCAUUAACAAAGUUCAUCUUGUUUACAGCUUCCUUUAAAAAAAACUGUUGUUUACAACUUAUUCUCCACAUUAAUUAUCUUAAUCUUUUUUUUCAAACAAAGCUCAAUCAAUUUUUCAUAUAAAAAUUAAUUCUAACUUUUAAUUUUAUUCUCAAUAUCAAACAAUCACAUCAAACACUUUAUAAUCAUCCACCAUAUUCCAACAAUAUCCAACUCCUAAAUUGUGACAGAUAUAAGUUUUCUAACUUACAAAUAUUUUAAUUUCUAAGUUAAAUUUGAAAAAUAUUAAUUUAAAAAUAACUUGUUUAAAUAAUAUAAUUGUGAAAAAUAUGUUAAUUUUAUACAUACGCUUUCAACAACUAUCUUAGAAUUAUGUAUUCUUUUUAAUUUAAUAUAACAUUUCUUUUUAAAUAUUUCUAACAUCUUGAAAUUAUAUCAUAUACAAUUAUAUUUUACAAAUAAUUUUAUAAAUGAUAUAAUUUUGAUAAAUGCAUUUUUUAUGUAUAAUUUCAACAAAUAUGUUAUUAUUUAAUUUUUUAUAGCUUAAGGUAAUAUUUAUAUUUUAAAUGUUUUUUCUUCGAAUUAUAUAUAUCAUAAACAAUUAUUUCUAGCGUUAUUUCAAAAUAAAUUUUGGGGAGCAAUUCCAUAAAGUAAGACAAAGGUUUUAGCUUGACAAUUGAAAAAAAUGCAUAAAAAAAGGGAUAUCCUGUGAAGUUCAAGACAAUACAAUUGAAAUGACAAUACUGAAGUGUGAGCACAACCUCGGUAGCAUGUUAUGAGAGGGUUAGAAAAUGAAAUAACAUUACUGAGGAUGAAACUACAAAACUCCAUUGUUUUUAAAACUCAUAAAUCCUUAUAGCUGAAUAGGGUUAAACAAAUUCAUCAAAAUCUCUAUCAUUCUUUUAUAGUAUCAAAUUUAAAUUAUUGUCCUAUUUUUAAGAUAACAAAUUAUUACUGUAAAAAAAGAUUAUAAAUUAUUAAAGAUAAAUUCAUAUAUAUAUAUAUAUAUAUAUAUAUAUAUAUAUAUAUAUAAUUAUAACCAAAUAACUAAAAUUAUUUUUUAUUAACAAAUCUUAUGAAAAAAAAUUAAUUCAAUGAGCUAGCUCACAAGCUAUUUCUGUCCGGCACACCCUAUUUCUUCAUUUGAAACAUUUUUUGUUUGAAUGGUUUAAAUUUAAAUAUGUUUUAAUUCUUGCUAAAAAAUUUAAUUUUGAUUUUUGUCCCUUUUCAAUUAUUGUUAACUUUUUGUCCUUAAUAAUUUUUUUUUUACUUUGGAUUUGUUUACAUAGGACUUUAGAAAAUGAAAUAAAAUUAUUUUUAAAGUUAUCUGAGAAAAAACAGAAAUAUUAUUAGAAACCAAAAAGUUAACAGAAAUUUAUCACAAAUAACAAAAACAAAAUUUAAAGAUUUAUCAAGAACUAAAAAUAUAUUUAAAACGGUUGUAACACAAAAGGAGAUGAAAAAUCAAUCAUUAUGCUAUUCUCCUUGAACAAGAGUUAUAAUUUCCAUCUAAUACUUCUUUUGGAUAUUGAAAUUAUUCGAUGAAACAACUUUAAAUUAAAUUUCAUAGAGCAACUCAGUCCAUACAAUGGAUUGUGUUUUACCUUGACAGUUGAAAAAAUGCAUUAAAAAGAAGGAUUUUCCGUGAAGGUUCAAGACAUUACAUGCAUGCUUAAUUUUAAAUGAUGAUGAUAUAUAUAGUAUAAGGUUAUUUGUUAUUUAUUUGAUGAGUUAACUUAAUAUUUAAUUCCAUCCACUCCACUACUUGCUAAAACUGACCACCCUCUUCCGAUUGACUCAAGGUUUACAAAAUUCGCUCCGUCAUGUUGUUCCAUUCCUAGAUGGUAUUUUAAAGGGAAAAAAUGGUUAAAUAAGGAUAUGACGUAUAAAAAUCAAAUAAAUCGAUCGUGUUUGCAGAAAAAAUGAGUUCCAAAGUCAAGUCAAUUUAAAUUGCAAUUGGGACAACAUUGAUAGUGUGAAAGGGUUAUAAAAUGUAUGUGUCAAUCUGCGUGAGGGAUGGGCUGUUAAGUGUUAAAGCUUAAUUUAGCCACAAAUUUUGCAUAUAGUGUUUUUAUUUUGCCUAUAAAUAUUAAUCUUUGGUUCGUGAUUCCUUGAUCUUUCAUGUAUAUUUUCUCUUAUAGUAAGGGCACGUAAACAGUUUUGGGUAGAAUAUGGAAUCAUGGAUGUGGUGUUUCCUUCUCUGUUCCCAUUUGCUCAUCCUUUAUUUUUCACCCUCUCAUUCCUUAUGCCACCCCCAUGACAGCUUUGCCUUGCUGCAGUUCAAAAACUCCUUCACUAUUAAUACUAGUUAUGACCAUUAUGAAUAUCCUUAUUAUUAUCAUAAAUGUGAUACUGGUUAUUCAAAAACGACAACAUGGGAAAUUGGAGGAGAUUGUUGCUCUUGGGCUGGAGUCACCUGCCACCCCAUCUCAGGCCACGUCACUCAGCUCGACCUCAGCUGCAGUGGCCUUGUCGGUAAUAUUCAUUCAAACAGUACGCUUUUCCAUCUUUCUCAUCUUCACUCACUCAACCUUGCUUUCAAUCAUUUUAAUCAUUCUCAUUUGUCAUCUCUCUUUGGUGGGUUUGUGAGCCUCACUCAUCUCAACUUGUCUUCUUCUGACUUUGAAGGGGAUAUUCCUUCCCAAAUCUCUCACCUUUCCAAAUUAGUCUCACUUGAUCUCUCAUAUAAUAUGUUAAAGUGGAAGGAAGACACUUGGAAGAGAUUGCUCCAAAAUGCAACAGUUUUAAGGGUGCUUCUUUUGGACGAAACAGAUAUGUCUUCCACUUCAAUCAGGACACUCAAUAUGUCUUCCUCUUUGGUUACUCUUAGUUUGAGAUGGACUUGGCUAAGAGGAAAGUUGACCGAUGGCAUUCUCUGUUUACCAAAUCUACAGCACCUAGAUCUUGCAUAUAAUUGGGACAUUCAAGGCCAGCUUCCAAAAGUGAGUUGCAGCACAGCUUCUCUUGGUUUCUUAGAUCUUUCAGGUUGUGGUUUGCAAGGGUCAAUCCCUCCCUCUUUCUCCAACCUCACACUUCUCACUUCCCUGGACCUCUCAAGUAACCACCUCAACGGUUCAAUCCCAUCCUCACUCUUAAUCCUUCCACGGCUAACCUUUCUGAAUCUAAACAAUAACCAACUCAGUGGUCAAAUCCCAGAUGUCUUUCAUCAGUCAAACAACUUUCACGAAUUGGAUUUGAGUAAUAACAAAAUAGAGGCUGAGCUGCCAUCAACGCUUUCAAAUCUUCAACAUCUCAUUCUCUUGGAUCUUUCACAUAAUAAAUUUAUUGGUCAAAUCCCAGAUGUGUUUGCCAGGCUAAACAAAUUGAAUACUCUCUAUCUUGGGGGAAACAAUUUUGGAGGACAAAUCCCAUCUUCAUUGUUUGGCUUAACUCAACUUUCUGAGUUGGAUUGUUCUAAUAAUAAAUUGGAGGGCCCUCUGCCUAACAAUAUCACAGGGUUUUCAAGCUUAACAUGGUUAAGGUUAUAUGGCAACUUACUGAAUGGGACAAUUCCAUCUUGGUGUUUAUCUUUGCCAUCUUUGACGACUUUAGAUCUAUCGGGAAACCAGUUCACAGGGCUGCCAGUGCAUCUAAGUACAAUCUCAUCAUAUUCCUUGGGGAUUCUAUAUUUGUCCUACAAUAAGCUGCAGGGAAACAUUCCAGAAUCAAUUUUCAGCCUUGUAAACCUUACUCUCUUAGAUCUAUCAUCAAAUAAUUUCAGUGGGUCUGUCCACUUUCGACUUUUCUCCAAGCUUCAAAUUUUGGAAAACCUUGACCUUUCACAGAAUGAUCAAUUAUCACUAAAUUUCAAAUCCAAUGUCAAUUAUAGUUUCUCCAGCUUAAGGAGUUUGGACUUAUCUUCUAUGGAUUUAACUGAAUUUCCGAAAUUAUCUGGAAAAGUCCCAAAUUUAAUGUUUAUCUAUUUGUCCAACAACAAACUUAAAGGUAGAGUGCCAAAUUGGUUGAAUGAAACGAGGUCGUGGUUACAUGAAUUGGACCUCUCUCAUAACCUAUUGACACAAUCAUGGGACCAAUUCUCAUGGAACCAACGACUCAAUUACCUUGAUCUUAGUUUUAACUCAAUCACUGGUGGCUUCUCUUCCUCAAUUUGCA